UGGUGGAGUGAUUUGUCUGGUUGAUUCCGAUAACGAACGAGACCACGAGAGGGUGGUUGAGGUAGUAGAUGAGGAGUGAAAAUGGGGGAAGGUUAAAGUGUGGUUGAUUUCGGUUAACCCGCUUUAAUUGGAACUCUUGCUCCUUUCUACACUUACCUACCCCGACCGGAGUGUUUCAACACUCAGGAAGGUCGUGGCAAUAACA
rnacentral:rRNA from 1 species